rnacentral:rRNA from 1 species
UACGAAGGGUGCAAGCGUUCCUCGGAAUUACUGGGCGUAAAGCGUGCGUAGGUGGUGAGUUAAGUCUGAUGUGAAAUCCCCGGGCUCAACCUGGGAAUGGCAUUGGAUACUGGCUCGCUAGAGUGCGGUAGAGGGUGGUGGAAUUCCCGGUGUAGCAGUGAAAUGCGUAGAGAUCGGGAGGAACAUCUGUGGCGAAGGCGGCCACCUGGACCAACACUGACACUGAGGCACGAAAGCGUGGGGAGCAAACAGG